UAAUACGUAGGGUGCGAGCGUUAAUCGGAAUUACUGGGCGUAAAGCGUGCGCAGGCGGUCUGUUAAGACAGAUGUGAAAUCCCCGGGCUCAACCUGGGAACUGCAUUUGUGACUGGCAGGCUAGAGUAUGGCAGAGGGGGGUAGAAUUCCACGUGUAGCAGUGAAAUGCGUAGAGAUGUGGAGGAAUACCGAUGGCGAAGGCAGCCCCCUGGGCCAAUACUGACGCUCAUGCACGAAAGCGUGGGGAGCAAACAGGAUUAGAUACCCUGGUAGUCCACGCCCUAAACGAUGUCAACUAGUUGUUGGGGAUUCAUUUCCUUAGUAACGUAGCUAACGCGUGAAGUUGACCGCCUGGGGAGUACGGUCGCAAGAUUAAA
rnacentral:rRNA from 1 species